UAGGGAAUCUUCGGCAAUGGACGAAAGUCUGACCGAGCAACGCCGCGUGAGUGAAGAAGGUUUUCGGAUCGUAAAACUCUGUUGUUAGAGAAGAACAAGGACGUUAGUAACUGAACGUCCCCUGACGGUAUCUAACCAGAAAGCCACGGCUAACUACGUGCCAGCAGCCGCGGUAAUACGUAGGUGGCAAGCGUUGUCCGGAUUUAUUGGGCGUAAAGCGAGCGCAGGCGGUUUCUUAAGUCUGAUGUGAAAGCCCCCGGCUCAACCGGGGAGGGUCAUUGGAAACUGGGAGACGUGAGGGCAGAAGAGGAGAGUGGAAUUCCAUGUGUAGCGGUGAAAUGCGUAGAUAUAUGGAGGAACACCAGUGGCGAAGGCGGCUCUCUGGUCUGUAACUAACGCUGAGGCUCGAAAGCGUGGGGAGCAAACAGG
rnacentral:rRNA from 1 species